UGUUGUUAUUGAAUAUGCUUUUUUGAGUCGCUAGCAUAUAAUGCUAUGCUUUGAGGUUCGAGGCCCAAACAUGUUCAGAAACAACUCUUGUGGUUAGUACGGGUAACCGCAGAAGCUUUCAGAGUUGCUGAUGCUCCUGCCAAGGUUUUCUUUCUUCUGAUGGAAAACACUGAGGAGAUUCUUCCAUUUUGCACACAGAUCUUCCAGUUCCAGGCUCAG